UCCCGCUUCCUCCCGCGAUGUAGGUCGGGGUGCGCGGGCACCGCCGGGCUCUCCGCCACGCCUCCGGUUUUAACCCUUCCGCUCCGCGGGUCGGGGCCGCCCGGCUUCGGCCGCCAACCGAGGGGCGGUCCGGGAACCGCCGGGAUCGCGCGGAUCGGUCGCAGCGCCGCACCGAACGCCGCGCUCCGGGCAGCGCCAGGAUCGAACAAACGUUCGCAAUGAACGCAGCGUUCCGUAGCUCUUUUGUUUGAAAACCCGAAGUCUUACGUUUUGCCAUAAAAUCGCUCCCUUCCAGCCGUCUCUCAGCCCCGUUCCGGCGGUCCGGAGCUGCAGGUGCUGCUGGGGCUGCCGCGUCUCCCGAAGAAACGCCUCGAUCUUCGUUCACCUCCCCGACAGCCGAAGCAGAGAUCUGAAAUCUCCAUCGGUGACUUUUCCCGAGGCCGUUUGGGUCAAAGUUUCACGAAGCGAGCGGCUGCUUGGAACAAAACCUGGUGUGAUGUGAAGGGCUGGAGGAGCGGCUCUGGAAAGGGACCGUAUGGCAAAAGGUCCGAAAUGUUGCUUCAAAGUUUCACUGCAGAUGGAUCAGCUCUAAAUUUCAGAUAGAAGUGUGAAAAUGCCUGCCUGAACUGCUCCGGUUCUGGGCUAGAGAGGCAGAAAGCACUUUUAAACCAGAUCCCGUUUGUGAUGAUCAAACUUGAAAUCCUCCCUGAGUGCACAGCUUCUGGCUUAGACCAAAUUAAGAAAUAACCCCAGCUGUUCCACCAGAAGCCUUGUUGUAACCCUGACAUCUGCCAGCUUCCAGCAGUCCCUGCAAUUUCCUGGCCACAUCAGCCUUCAGCAGCGUGCAGAGGAGACUGGCCAGGCUGGUGGUGGGUCCGUUCUGUGCCUGGAACUGUACGGGAGGUGGUCCGUCUGUCCACUGCAAGAUAACAAACAGCAUGAAAACCCUCCAGCCACCACCUGGGAAGGGGAGGAGCAGCAGCAAGGCCAGAGGAAGGAGCUGCCCACACACAUUGAGGUCAUCACUGAUUUCAUGACAAGCUGAGCGUCAGGUUGGACUCUGUCACACACACGGAACAAGGGAAACUGUGGCCUGCACGAAUGACAGACCUCAAUUCAGAUGCUUCUGAGCCCAUUCUACACUGCAGCUGUAGGGUUUCCAGAGUGAAUAAAAGCCUCUGGUUCUCA